rnacentral:rRNA from 1 species
UACGUAGGGUGCAAGCGUUAAUCGGAAUUACUGGGCGUAAAGCGUGCGCAGGCGGUUAUGUAAGACAGUUGUGAAAGCCCCGGGCUCAACCUGGGAAUGGCAUUUGGGACUGCAAGGCUGGAGUUUGGCAGAGGAGACUGGAAUUCCUGGUGUAGCAGUGAAAUGCGUAGAUAUCAGGAGGAAUACCGAUGGCGAAGGCAGGUCUCUGGGCUAUAACUGACGCUCAUGCACGAAAGCGUGGGGAGCAAACAGG